GAUCCUUAUAAUUUACAAUUUCAUUAACAUUUCCAUGAUUAUACAAUGAAGAUGAACUGCAUCUUGCUCAUUUUUUUCCCCCUUUGUAACAGAAAUCCAAAAUCUAGUGACUGAAGCAGGCUUUAUUUUUCUUGUACAUGAGAGGUGGGUUGUCCAGAGGGUUGUGGUAGGUCCCCUAUGCUCCUGGCAUCCAGAUUCCUUUCUUUCCACUCAGGCCCAUAGCAUGUGCUUCUGACUGCCUUGUCACUGGCUGGCUGGCUUCAAGCAUGAUGGUCUCAUUCCAGGCAAGAUGGAGUCAAGAGAACAAGAUGUGGGCAGAGUUGAGACAGGCACACCGGUCUUGAUCCGUUGUCAAAACCACGGAGACAAGCACACCCAGUAUACACCAUGCAUUUGAAAAGCGCAUACGCAUGGACUUGGACAACUACUACCAAGCUCUCCAAGUGUUCUAGCCAAGGCUCAGUGAUUAGCAGCUGAAAAGCAAGAAGGAAACCCAGGGAGACGAGUAGCAGCAUUAAAAGAAUCAGCUUCAAAGACUAUAAACACCUAACCAAGAUAUGUCUGGUAUGUCCAGGCCAGAGCUGUUGGGAAGGUACAGGACCUAGAUAGGGUCAUCUACGUGUGAUGCCUCUGGAAAAUUUCAGCUCCUACCCUAGUGCUCAAAAUAGGUACCAGAGCAAAGUCAUCUACUUCACAGAGAUGGAGACAUCCCUGGGUCCAUCAGCAUGAUCUGUCAGGUCUGACCUAGCUAUUGCUGCCACCUAGUGGCCGUCUUCCUUUAAUGGAGGCCGAACCUAAAUGCUAAGCAUCGUAGGUUCCUUGAGGCCAGGAAACCACUGAGAAGCUGGAGAUCAACUUACAUCUGAGAAGGUUCAGGAAUAUGUUCUAAAGGAACUAGACUUGAAUUUCAUGUGUGUUUGAUUCUUCCUGCCUGCCUCACAAGCACCACCAUUUGUGAACUAAGGAUGCGGUUUGCAUGUCAAAAGGCCACUUCAAAGGGAAGAGUAUGAGAACUGGACCUAUGACCACCUCUGUAUUGUGUACCACACCUAAGCUUCUGGCCUUAAAGGUCUUUGCAUUGGUCUAAUGAAGGUACACGUGAAGACUUUGCACACAAGUAACACUCAGAAGUAGCAUAUACACACUAAAGAUGACAGGUCUGGUGACAGUAACAUAUGGUGUAAGGGGCGAAGUCAGGGCCCUUUUGGGCUUUGCAAAUUUUUAGAGGUUUCCAAAGACAGAAGCAUUUCUGCAAAGGUAAGUGCCGAUUUGAAUUAUAAGAUUUACCACAAUGGCUCUGUAUGUCUAGAAGCAAGAAGAGCCACUGGUUUAGUCAACGGAAUUGACUGUCAUCAUUCAGUGAAAGAUUGGAACUUGGUUCCUAAAACAGGUUGGAAUAUGAUGGUAUCUCAAUGACCCACUCGUGGUUCCGGCCCACUUUCCAUGGUAACUAGACAGGUACAGCAGACUCAUGUUCUAAAGGGUACAGUAACCAGAUUCCAGGCCUUCCAAGGACGGAGGUUUGGGUCUCACUCAGAGCAGUGUCACUGAAACCCACAUUAAGAGCUAUGUUUCUCAUUUUCUACUUGACAGCUUUAUCACUUUUCUUUUUUCUAUUUAGGGAUUAAUUUGAUCUUUUCCUAGUUCCAGGUAGCAGCUCAAAGCACUGAUUUCGUGUUCUCCUCCUUAGUGUAAAAGUUGUUCUCUACCCUUUGGGGCAUAUUCUUUUCUGAAAGCUUUUAAACUUUUUACAUUGUUUACUUGGAAAUUGUUUUCUGGACAAAUCCCAUUUCUUCUUUGGUGCAUGUGUAACUUAGAAGUUUGCUGUUUAAUUCCAGCAUAUUGGUGAGGCUAUUCCAGGUACCUUCCUACACUCCUCUCUAAAGUUUCUUACAAAUUUAUUCUGACUUCCUGUCAUCCAACAUACCUUGAAUACACCAUAUUCAUUGUCUAGAGUGUUCUAUAAAUGCCAACUAGAUCAAGUUGGUUAAUGUUGCUUAUAACAUGUAAUUUUUGUGUGUGUGUAUGUGAAGAUGGUGUUGACACAUUCAACCUUCUAGAUUUCUAGAUGUUUUUAUUCUUUUUAAAUAAGUUUUGAUGUGUAUGCAUGUUUGCUUACACAUAUGUAUGUACACUACAUGUAUGUCUGUUGCCCAUGAAGGCCAGAACAAGGCAUUGGAAUUCCUGCAAUUGGAGUCAUAGACUAGUUUUUUGUUGUUGUUCUGUUUUUUGAGACAGGGUUUCUCUGUGUAGUCCUGGCCUCCAACUCACAGAGAUCCUCUGCCUCCCAGUACUGGGAUUAAAAGCAUGCACCACCAUGGCCCUUUAUAAGAGCAGUCAAGCGCUCCUAACUGCUGAGCCAUCUCUCCAGGCUGACAUUAUAUUAAGAGCUUAAUUAUAGAGCUAUCUCGACAUCCACAUGAUAAGGUUCCCCAUCAAUCUACAUGACCUACACUGGGUUCUAUGCCCCCACAGGACAACACACUCCUGGUCACAAGGGGAGUUUGGUAUCCAUGGAAUGAAGCUCUUACCUUGGCCUGCAAAUCAGCAUUAACCACCUGUAUUGCAGAAGUUUACAUGGGUGCCAUUCUGGAAAACUCCCAUUAACUCACAAAAGCAAACAAGUGAGUGCAGACAGGAAUGGGACUAUGGUCCCACUAUUGUUAUUUAUUCUCUCCUCUUCUCCUUAGUUGUUAAUGCAUACCCAAAUAAAUGUAAUCAUUUUUUAAAGAGAGAGAAACUAUAGGGUAUGUACAAACUCAUGGCUACUACACCCACCAUGCUGGAUGAUGAACGAAUAACUGAGGCCAGGAAGGAAAUUUUAAAAAAAGUCCUAGAGAAAAAUGAAAACACAACAUUCCAAAAUCCAUGGAAAAAUUAUGAAGGUGGUAUUAAGAGGGCAGUUUACAGCUAUUGGUGCCUACAGUAAGAAGUUAAAGACAUUGCAAAUGAAUUUACUUAAUGAUUCAACUUAGGGCCUUGGGGGAAAAAAAAAUAAAUAAAAUCCCAAUCACUCUGUGGGAAAAAAUAGUGCCAUCAGGGAAGAAAUCAAUGAAAUAGAAACAACAAAAUACUAGGAGUCAAUGAAACAAAAAUUUGGUUAAACAGCUAAAUGCAGCUGUUAAACCCUCAGCUUGACUAAAAGAAGAAAUAGGAAUUAAUUAUUAAAAAAAGAAAGAGAGAGGGAGGGAGGGAGGGAAGGAGGGAGGGAGGGAGGGAGGGAGGGAGGGAAGGAAGGAAGGAAGGAAGGAAGGAAGGAAGGAAGGAAGGCAGGCAGGCAGGAAGGAAGGAAAAAAGAAAGAAAAAUGAAGCCCAUUGGUAGUGGCCAACUCUGGAGGCAGAGGCAGGUAGGUGAACCUCUAUGAGUUUAAGGUCAGCCUGGUCUACAAAGUGAGUUCCAGGACAGGUAUGGUACACACAGAACUUCUGUCUCAAAAAAGCAAAUUAAAUUCGAAGAAAAGGGAGCCAUUACAAGAGACACUGAUGAAAAUAUCAUUAGGUCUUACCUUAAAAACUAACAUCCCACUAAGUUGGAGGAUGCUGAAGAAAUGGGUGAAUUUAUGGAUGCAUAUGGCCUACAAGAAUAACAUGAAGAUGAGCAGUUAUGAUUAUAUUAGUAAUUCAAAAUCUCAAAAAAGAAAAAAAAAAAAAAGGCCAGGUCUGGAUGACUCCACUAGUGAAUUGAAUUUUAUCAGACCUUCCAAGAACUAAAACCAGUGUUCCUCCAAAUACUCCAUAGGCUAGAAAAGGAAGAAACAUUACCCAACUCCUUUAUGAUGCUAUCAGCUUGAUACUGAACCCAGAUGAAACAAAAACUCUAGAUCAAUUUCCCCGAUGAACAUGGACACAAAGAUUCUCAAUAAACAACUACUUGCAAACAGAAUCCAAGAACAGAUUUAGAAAGAUCAUUGAUCGUUCCCAACCAUGGAGCUGGCUUUAGUCCAGAGGUAGAGACUUUAAUAUACAUAUCAAUACAUGUUAUGCCUUUCACGUUAAAGUCUCAAAUACACUCAGAAGAGAAGGAACGUAUCUCAGUAUUGAAAACCUGUAUUCUGUUAAUGUAAUACAAAAGUGUCCAUUUUCUGUACUCUUAUUCAAUCAUACUAGAAGUCUUAAACUAAAGCCACAACCUAAGCAGACAAAUAAAGAAAACCAGAAAAUAAGUCCAAACACCUCUAUUUGUAGAUGGUAUGAUUCUAUAAACGAAAGACUAUAAAGAAACUACCAAAAAAACUCUUAAAACUGUUGAA
rnacentral:lncRNA from 1 species